AACGAACGCUGGCGGCAUGCCUAACACAUGCAAGUCGAACGAGACCUUCGGGUCUAGUGGCGCACGGGUGCGUAACGCGUGGGAACCUGCCCUUAGGUUCGGAAUAACUCCCCGAAAGGGGUGCUAAUACCGGAUAAUGUCUUCGGACCAAAGAUUUAUCGCCUUUGGAUGGGCCCGCGUUGGAUUAGCUAGUUGGUAGGGUAAAAGCCUACCAAGGCGACGAUCCAUAGCUGGUCUGAGAGGAUGAUCAGCCACACUGGGACUGAGACACGGCCCAGACUCGUACGGGAGGCAGCAGUGGGGAAUAUUGGACAAUGGGCGGAAGCCUGAUCCGGCAAUGCCGCGUGAGUGAUGAAGGCCUUAGGGUUGUAAAGCUCUUUUACCCGGGAUGAUAAUGACAGUACCGGGAGAAUAAGCUCCGGCUAACUCCGUG
rnacentral:rRNA from 1 species